ACUGUGUGCGUCACAUUGAACAUUGAAAACAGAGGGAAAACUAGAGACUGGUCUGAAGACAUUAGAAAAAAGGACACAGACUGGUAUUACUGCAGCUGGACGUACUUCAAAUCAGAUACCAGAGUAACCCUCCGCAGCAAUGGCACCGUUAUCAUCGUCAGAGAGAAGGAUCCCAGUGAACAAUGCAAUUUCCAAUUUUUGGAUCUUGUCUUCAUUACCUUGAGUGUGACAGCAUUCACCAUCAUAUUGUUCCUCGUCAUUGGAGCCCUGAUUUUGAGAUGCAAACGAUUUAAAAAGCACUUCUGACCCGAGAGUGCUCACUGAAUGAGGUGGAGGUGCUGUCCUGCCCAGGAGGGUGCUUGAGCAGCCGUGGACAGGCGAGGAGCGAGGCAGGAGGCCGGGUGAAUAAAACCCUAGUGCAGCAGAUGGAGGAGACCUACGGCAGCCUGCCAGUCUGUCUCCCAGAGCUCAACCCCACCCUGCACACCCUUUAUCAAGACUGGCUACAGGGCCAGGACUCCCCACAGGCCGGCACACUGCUGCACACCCAAUACAGAAAACAGGGUCAGAGCCACACACAGCCCCCGCACAUGCAGUGGUGAGAGAGAGGAAAACAGAUUUAGUUUAAAGACAUGAUGGAGGUGGAAUGAGAGCUGCCUCUGGUUGGCUCCUGAUUCUGUUUGGACCAUCUCAUCGUUCAUGCUGGCACCAUGAGGGACAAGUAGAGGACCAUGUUGCUCUACAGACCACUUGGUGAGAACUGAAAGUCUCAGUAGGUGCAGUUCUUCCAUUUGGCCACGGGGGGGGGGUGAUGUCUGUAGUUUAAAAAUGGUGGAUCCCCUGUGGCAGACCUGAGCCUGAGGAGAAAUAAGUCCACAGUCUAGAAAAACACAAAGCCAAAGCCAACCAUGACUAGUAUUUUUAAGUUAUAUGUUGUUUGUGUUCUUUGUUUUACAAGAUUAAAACAUACAUGUCAUACAUGUUGAGCACUAAAAUAUUCUGACAAACAAGUGAACAGGUGUCGUCUCAUUGAACUUUACUGAUCUUCUGAAAAGUGAAUGUGUUGUUAAAAUGUGAACAUUUGAUGUCUAAACCUUUCCAGUUAAAGGAUUACGUACAAGGCUAAAAACAGCAGCCCACAUUUUGGAGCAUUAAUUAAAAUCAACAUUCAAAACAA